rnacentral:lncRNA from 1 species
UUUUUAUUUGCAUCUGUAUUUUUCUCAUGUGUUUGUAUUGCAGCCUUUCAUCUUUUAUGUCAAUUCGUUUUCAUACCCACAUAGCUCUGUGAAUCCUUCAUUUUCCCCACUGCUAGACCCGACACCUGAGUUUCAACUCACUACCAUUAAAAAAAUUACACGAUUUCUGCCAAUGUGAGCAGGCUAAUUGUUCAAAAAUGCGGAUAAAAUUCAAACCCUAGAAAUACAUAAUAGAUCAGAAA